rnacentral:rRNA from 1 species
GACGAACGCUGGCGGCGUGCUUAACACAUGCAAGUCGAACGAAGUGGCGAACGGGUGAGUAACGCGUAAUCAACCUGCCAUUCAGAGGGGGACAACAGUUGGAAACGACUGCUAAUACCGCAUACUGAAGGAGGGGAUUGCGUCUGAUUAGCUAGUUGGAGUGGUAACGGCCCACCAAGUCGAUGAUCAGUAGCCGGUCUGAGAGGAUGAACGGCCACAGUGGGACUGAGACCCGGCCCAGACUCCUACGGUAGGCAGCAGUGGGGAAUCGUCCGCAAGGGACGAAAGUCUGACGGAGCAACGCCGCGUGAGUGAUGACGGCCUUCGGGUUGUAAAGCUCUGUUAAUCGGUACGCGGUACCGGAAUAGAAAGCCACGGCUAACUACGUGCCAGCAGCCGCGGUAAUC